rnacentral:rRNA from 1 species
CCGGAGCUUGCUCCGGUGAAAGUGGCGCACGGGUGAGUAACGCGUGGAUAACCUGCCCUGGUGUCUGGGAUAACAUCUCGAAAGGGGUGCUAAUACCGGAUAAGCCCACGGACUCCUCGGAGUCUGCGGGAAAAGGUGGCCUCUAUUUAUAAGCUACCGUAUCAGGAUGAGUCCGCGUACCAUUAGCUAGUUGGUGGGGUAAUGGCCCACCAAGGCUACGAUGGUUAGUUGGUCUGAGAGGAUGAUCAGCCACMCUGGAACUGAGACACGGUCCAGACUCCUACGGGAGGCAGCAGUGGGGAAUUUUGCGCAAUGGGGGAAACCCUGACGCARCAACGCCSCGUGAGUGAUGAAGGCUUUCGGGUCGUAAAGCUCUGUCAGAGGGGAAGAAAUGAGACUGGCUAAUAUCCAGAUUUCUUGACGGUACCCUCAAAGGAAGCACCGGCUAACUCCGUGCCAGCAGCCGCGGUAAUAC